GGGGGAGCAAGCGUUGUUCGGAUUUACUGGGCGUAAAGGGCGCGUAGGCGGCCACCGCAAGUCGACUGUGAAAUCUCCGGGCUUAACCCGGAAAGGUCAGCCGGUACUGCGGGGCUAGAGUGCAGAAGGGGCAACUGGAAUUCUCGGUGUAGCGGUGAAAUGCGUAGAUAUCGAGAGGAACACCUGCGGCGAAGGCGGGUUGCUGGGCUGACACUGACGCUGAGGCGCGAAAGCUAGGGGAGCGAACGGGAUUAGAUACCCCGGUAGUCCUAGCCUUAAACGAUGAAUGCUUGGUGUCUGGGGUUUUAUAGUCCCCGGGUGCCGUCGCUAACGCUUUAAGCAUUCCGCCUGGGGAGUACGGUCGCAAGACUG
rnacentral:rRNA from 1 species